AGUGAACGCUGGCGGUAGGCCUAACACAUGCAAGUCGAACGGCAGCACAGGAGAGCUUGCUCUCUGGGUGGCGAGUGGCGGACGGGUGAGGAAUACAUCGGAAUCUACUUUCUCGUGGGGGAUAACGUAGGGAAACUUACGCUAAUACCGCAUACGACCUACGGGUGAAAGCAGGGGAUCUUCGGACCUUGCGCGAUUGAAUGAGCCGAUGUCGGAUUAGCUAGUUGGCGGGGUAAAGGCCCACCAAGGCGACGAUCCGUAGCUGGUCUGAGAGGAGGAUCAGCCACACUGGAACUGAGACACGGUCCAGAGUCCUACGGGAGGCAGCAGUGGGGAAGAUUGGACAAUGGGCGCAAGCCUGAUCCAGCCAUACCGCGUGGGUGAAGAAGGCCUUCGGGUUGUAAAGCCCUUUUGUUGGGAAAGAAAUCCAGCUGGUUAAUACCCGGUUGGGAUGACGGUACCCAAAGAAUAAGCACCGGCUAACUUCGUGCCAGCCGCCGCGGUAA
rnacentral:rRNA from 1 species